rnacentral:rRNA from 1 species
GCUCAGGAUGAACGCUGGCGGCGUGCUUAAUGCAUGCAAGUCGAACGGAGAGUGAGCAAUUACUCUGAGUGGCGAACGGGUGAGUAACGCGUGGGUGACCUGCCCCGAAGGCGGGGAUAACAUUUCGAAAGGGCUGCUUAUACCGGAUGUGGUCAUCGGGUUUAGAAGCGGAUGACCAACGGCGGACGUUCUUCCGAACUUUGUCCCUUUGGGAGGGGCCUGCGUCCCAUCAGCUAGUUAGUAAGGUAACGGCUUACCAAGGCGAAGACGGGUAGGGGACCUGAGAGGGUGAUCCCCCACACUGGCACUGAAACACGGGCCAGACACCUACAGGUGGCAGCAGUAGGGAAUAUUGCACAAUGGGCGCAAGCCUGAUGCAGCAAUUCCGCGUGCGCGAUGAAGGCCUUCGAGUAGUAAAGCGCUUUUCUGGAGGACGAGGAAGGACGGUACUCCAGGAAGAAGGCUCGGCUAACUACGUGCCAGCAGCCGCGGUAAAACGUAGGAGCCAAGCGUUAUCCGAAUUCACUGGGCGUAAAGCGCGUGCAGGCGGCCGGGUAAGUCGGCUGUGAAAUCUCCUGGCACAACUGGGAGAGGCCGGUCAAGACUAUUCGGCUCGAGGACGGUAGAGGAAGGUAGAAUUCCCGGUGUAGUGGUGAAAUGCGUAGAUAUCGGGAGGAAUCACCCGUGGCGAAAGCGGCCUUCUGGGCCGUGACCUGACGGUCAGACGCGAAAGCCAGGGGAGCGAACGGGAUUAGAAACCCCCGUAGUCCUGGCUGUAAACGAUGUAGACUAGGCGUGGGUGGGGUAAAAUGCCAUCCGUGACGCAGCAAACGCGGUAAGUCUUCCGC